rnacentral:lncRNA from 1 species
UUGUUAUUAAGCCCGGUCAGCGCUGGACGCGCUCGCCCGGUGGCGGCGGAGGACCUACGGAGGGGCACCGUCACUCCCGCGGAGGCGCUCCCGCCGCGCUCGGCCCGGCGCCGCUUGCACGGCCCCACAGCUCCCACUAGCGGCCGGCGGCGGCCCCUCGGCUGCGCCCCUCGGCCGUGCCCGGGCCGCGAGCCCACGCGGUUCCCCCCGAAAGGAGCCGCGAACUGCGGGCGGGGGUCUCGCUGCCGGGCUGGAAGCGAACGUUUCCUCGUCCAGAGCCGCGCGGCGGUGAAUAGGCGCUGCUGUAGCAGGAGGAAUUGCAGAGCCGGAGACGCGCUUUGGUGGGAAAAGGAUUCCUCGCCAGGACGGGGGCUUAGCGCCAGAGUGGAAGGCACAGAUUGCGCGUCGGGGGCCGCCGCGGAGCGAAGCGCUUCGUUAUCCGGCUGUGAACAAACGCGCGGCGCGGAGCCCGGCGGGAGCCAAGGCAUGCAGUCACUCCGCCUUGUGAAGCUUAUAGGACACCAGCUCUCCAGUACAUUUCACAGCAUUCGGCCUUCUCCGUUUUUGGAAAAAUAACGAUGAAUGAACAUGGGAAGCCCAACGGGCAGUUUAAUUUCCAAAGCAACUUCUUUCUGUUAUGAAACAGAGCACAGACUAAGAUACCGCUGCCAUGUCUUCUGCUCUUUCCUGAAUCUGCCAGAAGGAUACAUUGCCUGGUACUAGAAUAAUCCUACGGGACAUUUAUGAUCACGGCUAAGAAAAAGGAAGAUCUCCUAUGGAAUCAAGUAUGGAAAAUGAACACCGCUCAAGGCAGGUGGCAACGAAAAAAAUGGCUUACUUGCCUCCCUGGGGAUGAGGGAAAGAAAAAUGGAACAGAACAAAGCUGUGCAAGUAACCAAAAAAUGGAAGUUUAAACUCCAAACUGUAAUAUAAUAAAAAAUAAUCACCGGACA